rnacentral:lncRNA from 1 species
AGGGCUGCAGAUUACCCACGCCUGAGAAUCCAGCUUCCUGUCUCAACCUGUCUCGAUGCCAGCCUAUGGGAUGGUGCCACCUACACUGAGUGGAUCUUCCUUCCUCAUUUAAAUGUCUACGAAAGAACCCUCAUAGACCCAGAGGUGCCUCCCUUGUGACUCCAAAUGCAACUAAGGUGACAAUCAAUAUUAAGCAUUGUAGGAUGCUUGUGUAUAUCCACACCGUUUCUAAUAUUGCUACAUAGCUGCCUUAGAAUCCUUUCUCCAGCCCAGAAAUUAAGAGUCAGCCCCAUGCUUUAUUCUGCUUUAAGUGAUCCAUCUGUGGUUCAUUGCCUUUGCUAACUGUAUAUACGGUUAGAGCUGUCUUCAUCCAUUUACUCUUUCCCUAACAAAUACCCAAGACCAGGCAUAUUAUAAAGAGAAGACUCCUCCGCUGAACAGAGGACUGGGAACAUAGUGAGGGCUCAAUCUAUUGUAUUUUCCAAGAACAUCAGCUGAACAAACCAGAGACUGGAAGCAAGCAGCUGGAGUGGUGGAGUUAGGAACGCAAACCUGCCCAGCUCAGCAGACAGGUAAAAGCUCCACCAGGACUUUCCUUUUUUAUUAUUUCAGAAUGUCAUG